UCCACUGCCUUGCCCUCUGUACCGAAGAACUUCUAAAUUCCUCACAAGGUACCUCACAGGUACUAUGCGCCUAAAACAUUAACUCUUAACAGCCCUGUGAGUAGUGAGGACAUAUUCCACCACCAUGUUGAUUACGCCUAGAAGAUCUUGAAGGAAAAAUAUAGAGUGGAAAGAUCGCAUUCCUAAACAGAAUUUAAGGAAUGGCUUAUUGGUUUCUCUCACAAUGACUCAUCUAUUCAGAAAGUUCCAAGAGUAACAAUACAUGUAAAAUCCCACCUAAAACCCACUGACUAAAGAAUCCAUCAGUUCAUACUGAUAAAAAUAAAUAAAUGAACAAGUAAAUAAGAAGGAAAGCUCUUCCUUAAGGCAAAUCCCAACUAAUCAAUGAAAAACAAAUAAUGGAAUUAGAAAAUCACCACUUGGCAAUCAGUGCAGUAAUAAUUGCUUCAUCGAUUGAUGCUAAAACUACUGGACUUCCAGGAGACCAGAGACUCCGUCGGUUCCGCUCACUACCCCAGAAGAACACCUGAUACACAGAAAGCUCUCGAUACAUGGCGAUCAAACUAAUGAAGAGAUGAAAGAAUGGAUGGCAGGCUAACAACUUUCAGGAAUUUAAAAUCAUUUUUAAUCAUACGACAAACAGAACCAGGGUUGAGAUUUCCUAAUUAUCCGGGUGAUAGUUGAGGAGGCUACACAUGGCCCAGAAGGACAUCACGUGUAACUUAUUUACAAAACCUUAACCCACAGAAAGCUUUAUCUAGAAGAUUAUAGUUAGAUAAUCACUGUAAGGAACCUGAAAGGUCCUGCGAGGACGUGAGCAAACAUCAAAGGUCAGGACUGGGGGACGUCUGCAGAGACAGAGCUAUGUGACUUCGGACAAAGGGAGGAACAGUGGUGCGCACGUGGGGGCACGCAGUUAGGCAGGAACUGCUCACAGACCCUCAUCUACAGUGGCUGGUUUGACCUUCACAAUACCUGUACGUAUUAACUGUGCUAUUAACUCCAUUUCACAGAUGAGAAAACUAAAGGAGCUUAAGUAACGUCUCACGGUCACACAUCUGGAAGCCAAAAUUCACUCCAAGACGAUCUGCUCCAGAGUCCCCACUCCUGGCCACAGCAUUCUACCGCCUCACCGAAAAUAACAGCUAGCACUUAGCACCUAUCAGGUGCUAGAGCUCUCCCUCUAAUAACCUGUGUAAUCAUGAUCACACUGUCAGGUCAAAACUACAAUUACCAGUACCUUACAAACAAGGGGACUGAGGCACAGAGAGGUGACCUGCCUACGGUUACACAGCCAGCUUUGCUACCAGAGACGAACACGUUUUAACCGGAAGUCUCACAAAGGAACAGCAGUGCAGGAGCAUCGCCCUGGGCUUGCUCUCCCUUGGAACCGCAUUUCUACUCCCUUGAUCCUCUCCUAUUCAUCUCCUCACCAGUACUUCCUCUCCACCAGGACUCGGCCCCACCGAUUUAACCAGAUGUAACGCUCACUUUAAAUAAAUUUGAGAAACAAUGAAUGAAUUCUUGAGUCAAAUUUUGAAUCCAAUUUCAAAUUGCAGUAUAACAAAACUAUAUACUAAUACCUACCAGGAGAUCACGCUACUACAAUCCAGCAGAAAGAAAAGGAGACCGAAGGUUGUAGACAUGUUAAAUGAGAAGAUGCCACAAAAAAAAAAAUAUUUCCUGCAGGGAUUAGAAACAAGGACAUGGGUGCAGUGGAAGUAAAGGGCAAUACACCUGGCUACAGAU